GACGAACGCUGGCGGCGUGCCUAAUACAUGCAAGUCGAGCGGGCCGAGGGAGGUGCUUGCACCUCCGGAAGGCCAGCGGCGGACGGGUGAGUAACACGUGGGCAACCUGCCUUUGAGGCCGGGAUAACACCGGGAAACCGGUGCUAAUACCGGAUGCGUCCCCUUUCGCGCCUGCGAGAGGGGAGAAAGACGGUCUUUAAGGCCGUCGCUCAAAGAGGGGCCCGCGGCGCAUUGGCUGGUUGGGGGGGUAAGGGCCUACCAAGGCGACGAGGCGGUGGCGACAUGAAGGGGAGAACGGCCACACGGGGACUGAGACACGGCCCAGACUCCUGCGGGAGGCAGCAGUAGGGAAUCAUCCGCGAUGGGGGAAAGCCUGACGGUGCAACGCCGCGUGAGUGGGGAAGGUUUUCGGAUCGUAAAGCGCUGUUGUGAGGGAAGAACAGCUUCCGGAGGAAAUGCCGGAGGUUUGCCGGUACCUCACCAGAAAGCCCCGGCUAACUACGUGCCAGCCGCCGCCGUAACAC
rnacentral:rRNA from 1 species